CCACAAACUCGAGUUAUGAUUAGGUGAAAGAAUAAUCUAACAUAUGUACUAAUGUGGACUAUAUCUGUUUUUCAGGUGAUGGGGGUUACGGCUGCUACUCUUGGCUCCUUACUCCAUUGUCCCAACCUGAUUCUCCUGCUGAACACAGUUACAAUCAUGCACAUAAGGCUACGCGGAAUGUGAUAGAAAGAUGUUUUGGUGUGCUGAAGUCACGGUUUCGGUGUCUGGAUAAAUCUGCUGGCCUUUUGUUGUAUAGUCCCUCAAAGAUAACUGAGGGGAUCGGGGCUCAUCACUCUGCGAACUCGCCAAUAGUGCCAGUGGUGGCUGGGGUGACACUGCCGAAAGUCGUCGCCUGGGUGGGGAUGAUGGAGCCGCAGAUUCCGAGCCAAGACGCCGUGUCUUACUUGGCCUCCUGGAAUAUGUGACUACACUGAAGUCUUACCUGCAAUCCCAGCCUCAUCCUGACUUGUCUGAGGCCUGUCUGGCCGGCUGGUCUGUGGGACUGUUGAAAAAGUGUACCAAACAUUAUUACCAUGCUUUGUGUAAAAAAAAACCCUGCAAAGCCUUAUUGUACUGUAACCAUCUAUUAUGUAUUGGAUAAACAAAUAAUUU